UACGUAGGGUGCGAGCGUUGUCCGGAAUUAUUGGGCGUAAAGGGCUCGUAGGCGGUUUGUCACGUCGGGAGUGAAAACUCGGGGCUUAACCCCGAGCCUGCUUCCGAUACGGGCUGACUAGAGGUAUGCAGGGGAGAACGGAAUUCCUGGUGUAGCGGUGAAAUGCGCAGAUAUCGGGAGGAACACCUGUGGCGAAGGCGGCCCCCUGGUUGGAUACUGACGCUGAUACGCGAAAGCGUGGGGAGCAAACAGG
rnacentral:rRNA from 1 species